AAUAUAAACGCAGAAGAUGGUUACCAUGAACACAGAUAUUAACA
rnacentral:misc_RNA from 1 species